rnacentral:lncRNA from 1 species
GGCUGUUGUUUUUCAAGGCAACGAUGGAGGCAAAGCGCCAGCAGGCCCUAGUCCCAGUGAUUUGCUUAGAAAAGCUCUGGGACAAGAGAGAUGGUAUUUUCUAGUCUGCACUGGUGACAUCUGUAGCAAGCCAGUUGGAGAAAACCAGAGAACACAAAUAUGUACCCCUGGGCGAAUUAUCACAAUAAUUUGAAGCAAAUUUGUAACCACAAACCAGGUCAAGAGAACGGAACUUGCCGGUGUUCCAGUGGCUUCCUCAGGACUGAUCCCUGCUGCCAUCCUGUCCUUUUCCCCUCCAGAAGGUGCUUACCCUCCUAGCUGUCAUGUCUCCCUCCAGGUUCAGCGGCUGUGAAUUUUGGCCAAUGAAACAUGGCAGGAGUGAUGCAUCUCCCUUACUGGGCUGUCCCACAGAAACCUCCCACGGGAUCCUCCCCACUCUCCCUGACUCCCACCUGCCAGCUGGAAACAGGAUUCAAGAGAGAUCUUCAAGCUCCAAGGGAUGGUGGAACCUCACGCUGCAGAGAGACGGGCCUUAGAAUCACCCCGUGAAAGGCUGCCUCAGAACACUUACAUUGAGUCAUCAUGUGAGCUAGAAAUAAAACUCCCAUUGUGUUAAGUUGCUAAAAUUUGAGGAUUGUUUGUUUCAGCAGAGAGCUUAUUCUAACUGAUAGAGGAGUGGGGAUUUGCUUUCAGAAAGGAUUCUUUACUUUGCAAGAGGAAUCAUGCCAGGAUCUCUUUAAGUUGCGGGCUUGCCUUACACAGGUGAUAUGAAGCCACUUAUUACACAUUGAUCUCAGGGGCACAUCAGUUGUGCCAGCUGCUGGC